rnacentral:rRNA from 1 species
GAUUAAGUUAUUAAGGGCGCACGGUGGAUGCCUUGGCACUAGAAGCCGAUGAAGGACGUUACUAACGACGAUAUGCUUUGGGGAGCUGUAAGUAAGCUUUGAUCCAGAGAUUUCCGAAUGGGGAAACCCAGCAUGAGUUAUGUCAUGUUAUCGAUAUGUGAAUACAUAGCAUAUCAGAAGGCACACCCGGAGAACUGAAACAUCUUAGUACCCGGA